UACGUAGGUGGCGAGCGUUGUCCGGAUUUACUGGGUGUAAAGGGCGUGUAGGCGGGAAAGUAAGUCAGAUGUGAAAUUCCACGGCUCAACUGUGGCGCUGCAUCUGAAACUAUUUUUCUUGAGUGCUGGAGAGGAAAGCGGAAUUCCUAGUGUAGCGGUGAAAUGCGUAGAUAUUAGGAGGAACACCAGUGGCGAAGGCGGCUUUCUGGACAGUAACUGACGCUGAGGCGCGAAAGCGUGGGGAG
rnacentral:rRNA from 1 species